ACCCGCGGCCCGCCCCUGGCCGCCCGACGGGAGGGAGGGAUCGGGUUCUCCUAGGAAGUUUCAGUAUGCAUUCUUAGAAACCAGAUAUACAAAGACAAGAUCUCUGCUUUCAAGAAGCUCUCAAUCUGAUUGAGGAGAGAAACAGGUAGCAAAUAAUGGCAGCAGAGCAUGACGGAGUCUCACUCUGUCACCCAGGCUGGAGUGCAGUGGCGGGAUCUCGGCUCACUGCAAGCUCCGCCUCCCGGGUUCACGCCAUUCUCCUGCCUCAGCCUCCCAAGUAGCUGGGACUACAGGCGCCCACCACUACGCCCGGCUAAUUUUUUUGUAUUUUUAGUAGAGACGGGGUUUCACCGUUUUAGCCGGGAUGGUCUCGAUCUCCUGACCUCGUGAUCCGCCCGCCUCGGCCUCCCAAAGUGCUGGGAUUACAGGCGUGAGCCACCGCGCCCGGCCGUGCUGACUGUUUUUUGAAGAUAAAAUGAUCAAGUCAGAUUUGAAGAAUUGACUGUUGGAGGUCAUUCAACAUUUAUUCAACCAAAAAUACUAAGUCAGCUCUAUACAAACUAAUGGA
rnacentral:lncRNA from 1 species